rnacentral:rRNA from 1 species
AUUGAACGCUGGCGGCAGGCCUAACACAUGCAAGUCGAGCGAGCGGCGGACGGGUGAGUAAUGUAUGGGAACCUGCCUGAUGGAUGGGGAUAACUACUGGAAACGGUAGCUAAUACCGCAUACCCUCAGCUGUGCCCAGAUGGGAUUAGCUAGUUGGUGGGGUAAUGGCCUACCAAGGCGACGAUCCGUACCUGGUCUGAGAGGAUGAUCAGUCACACUGGAACUGAGACACGGUCCAGACUCCUACGGGAGGCAGCAGUGGGGAAUAUUGGAAAAUGGGCGAAAGCCUGAUCAAGCCAGGCCGCGUGUGUGAAGAAGGUCUUCGGAUUGGAAAGCACGUUAAGUCGGGAGGCGUUACCAACAGAAUAAGCACAGGCUAACUCCGUGCCAGCAGCCGCGGUAAUUC